UUAUGGUAGGGCUUCACACGUCAUACAAUGGUCGGUACAGAGGGUUGCCAAGCCGCGAGGUGGAGCCAAUCCCUUAAAGCCGAUCGUAGUCCGGAUCGUAGUCUGCAACUCGACUACCGUGAAGUCGGAAUCGCUAGUAAUCGCAGAUCAGCAUGCUGCGGUGAAUACGUUCCCGGGUCUU
rnacentral:rRNA from 1 species